UACGGAGGGUGCGAGCGUUGUCCGGAAUCAUUGGGCGUAAAGGGCGCGUAGGUGGCCCGGUCAGUUCGUGGUGAAAGCGCGGGGCUCAACCCUGCGUCGGCCAUGAAUACUGCCGCGGCUGGAGCACUGUAGAGGCAGGCGGAAUUCCGGGUGUAGUGGUGGAAUGCGUAGAGAUCCGGAGGAACACCAGCGGCGAAGGCGGCAUCCUGGACUGGUCCUGACACUCAGGAGCGAAAGCGUGGGGAGCGAUCCGG
rnacentral:rRNA from 1 species